CCGCGCUCCAAGUGAUGACCACGAUUACUGGGUUUAAAGCGUUCGUAGCCGGUUUCGCAAGUCCCUGGUGAAAUCAAUCGGUUAACCGAUUGGCUUGCUGGGGAGACUUCGAGACUUGGAACCGGGAGAGGUCAAAGGUACUCCAGGGGUAAGGGUAAAAUCUUAUAAUCCUUGGGGGACCACCUGUGGCGAAGGCGUUUGACUAGAACGGAUUCGACGGUGAGGGACGAAAGCUAGGGGAGCAAACCGGAUUAGAUACCCGAGUAGUCC
rnacentral:rRNA from 1 species